GCGACCCCAGGUCAGGCUGCACUACCCAACUGAGU
rnacentral:rRNA from 1 species